rnacentral:rRNA from 1 species
UACGAAGGGGGCUAGCGUUGCUCGGAAUCACUGGGCGUAAAGGGCGCGUAGGCGGCCAAGUAAGUUGGGGGGUGAAAGCCCGUGGCUCAACCACGGAAUUGCCUUCGAUACUGCUUGGCUUGAGACCGGAAGAGGGUCGUGGAAUUCCCAGUGUAGAGGUGAAAUUCGUAGAUAUUGGGAAGAACACCGGUGGCGAAGGCGGCGACCUGGUCCGAUACUGACGCUGAGGCGCGAAAGCGUGGGGAGCAAACAGG